UACAGAGGUCUCAAGCGUUGUUCGGGUUCAUUGGGCGUAAAGCGCGCGCAGGCGGUCCUUUAAGUCUGAUGUGAAAGCCCACGGCUCAACCGUGGAGGGUCAUUGGAAACUGGGGGACUUGAGUACAGAAGAGGAAAGCGGAAUUCCACGUGUAGCGGUGAAAUGCGUAGAGAUGUGGAGGAACACCAGUGGCGAAGGCGGCUUUCUGGUCUGUAACUGACGCUGAGGCGCGAAAGCGUGGGGAGCAAACAGG
rnacentral:rRNA from 1 species